rnacentral:sRNA from 1 species
AUGCGGGAAGGAUGAGAAGCUUCGACUAAGGUUCGAUUCGAGCGUCAGCGAGAAAGCGUUGCCGCAGGCAACGACCCGAAGGGCGAAGCGCGCAGCGCUGAGUCAUCCUUCCCCCACCACCA